rnacentral:lncRNA from 1 species
GAGGGGAGAGAAAGACGUAGAAAAACAGACAAGGAGAGAGGGCAGGAGUGGGGGACACAGGUACUGGGAGAGAGUAGAGACACAGAGACAAGAGAGAAAAGGCAACAAAGACAAAGCCAGAGACGCCCAGCCCGAGAGACAGAGCCACACGGAGAGAAUGGAGAGGGGAGCAGGGUCAGAGGGCCCGGACGACGCAGAGAAGGACGCGAAAGGACGUGAGAGGGACUUCCCCCAGGGGCAGGGAGAGGCCUUGGGCAGCUCCUCCGCUGGGCCGGGCUGCCUGCCUGCUGGACUCCGGGAAGGAGGCAGUGACCGCACCCAUCUGGAAGCUGUCAGGUCCCUCAAGGAUGAGGGCGUUGGGAGGAAGCCAGACAUGAGCCACGUCUAGAGAGAGGAAGCGGCGGGAUUUGAAAAAGAUGGCCCUCCUUCUGGGAGAGCACCCACUGCUCAUCUGAAUUCUAGAGAACCACUCAAGUGCAUAUAGACGGCAUCCAUCCUAAGAAGGAAAGUGCUCUCUAAGAAGCCACUAUGCCUGAAAUGCCACCAUAUGUAUACACCAUUCCACUAUGGAAAACAUUGCCUUUUCGGGGCUCUUCCUGUGAAAUGCAGGUAUAUUUAGCUCUUCAUGCUAUAGUAUGAAUUAGCCUAUCACUGGGUUCCCUUGUGACAAGAAAGCCCACGGCAACCAGACUGCCCAGGUUUCCCAGGGACAUCCUGAUUCUAAAUAUUAAAACAUUGCAUUAACCGGAAUCUAUAUAACAAAAGUGUGUACUCCCUACACAUCAUUCUGUUCUUUUCAAGGAAAUGGUUUGUUGAGUGUGUGACUGCAUAUGGUUUCAUUUUUAUGCCUUAUUGACACUUAACCCUGUCCCAGGCCAUGAGCUCUUGCUGGACAUACCAGAACAAAGACAUAGUCUCUUCAAGAUGGCAUUCACAGCCAUAGGGCAGGACGACAGGUGGGCGACAACCAUAGCCAGCAGAAGAGCAGACACUGGAACAGAGGUUCAAACCAACAACUAUGGAGCGAGCUGAGCCUUUUAUUGAAGCGUAAUACAUAUACAGAAAAAUUCACCUAUCAUAAGUAUGCAUCUUGGUAAAUUUUCACAAGGAAUAUACCCAUG